rnacentral:rRNA from 1 species
UUGGAGGGCAAGUCUGGUGCCAGCAGCCGCGGUAAUUCCAGCUCCAAUAGCGUAUAUUAAAGUUGUUGCAGUUAAAAAGCUCGUAGUUGAAUUUCGGGACCAAUUUGUUGGUCGUGCCUCGGUACGUACUGGUAUUAUUGGUUUCUCCCUUCUGAAGAACCUUGAUGUCAUUAAUUUGGUGUCUUGGGGAAUCAGGGCUGUUACUUUGAAAAAAUUAGAGUGUUUAAAGCAGGCAUACGCUUGAAUACAUUAGCAUGGAAUAAUGAAAUAGGACGUUUGAUUCUAUUUUGUUGGUUUCUAGGAUCGACGUAAUGAUUAAUAGGGAUAGUUGGGGGCAUUAGUAUUCAAUUGUCAGAGGUGAAAUUCUUGGAUUUAUUGAAGACUAACUACUGCGAAAGCAUUUGCCAAGGAUGUUUUCAUUAAUCAAGAACGAAAGUUAGGGGAUCGAAGACGAUCAGAUACCGUCGUAGUCUUAACCAUAAACUAUGCCGACUAGGGAUCGGAUGAUGUUAAUUUUUUAAUGACUCAUUCGGCGCCUUACGGGAAACCAAAGUGUUUGGGUUC